GGGCCUGUAGCUCAGCCUGGUAGAGCAGCGGAAGUUUAACCCGUUGGUCGCGGGUUCGAAUCCCGCCAGGCCCA
rnacentral:tRNA from 1 species